rnacentral:rRNA from 1 species
GAUGAACGCUGGCGGCGUGCCUAAUACAUGCAAGUCGAGCGAACGGACGAGAAGCUUGCUUCUCUGAUGUUAGCGGCGGACGGGUGAGUAACACGUGGAUAACCUACCUAUAAGACUGGGAUAACUUCGGGAAACCGGAGCUAAUACCGGAUAAUAUUUUGAACCGCAUGGUUCAAAAGUGAAAGACGGUCUUGCUGUCACUUAUAGAUGGAUCCGCGCUGCAUUAGCUAGUUGGUAAGGUAACGGCUUACCAAGGCAACGAUGCAUAGCCGACCUGAGAGGGUGACCGGCCACACUGGAAGUGGGACACGGUCCAGACUGCUACGGGAGGCAGCAGUAGGGAAUCUUCCGGAAUGGGCGAAAGCCGGACGGAGCACCGCCGCGUGAGUGAUGAAGGUCUUCGGAUCGUAAAACUCUGUUAUUAGGGAAGAACAUAUGUGUAAGUAACUGUGCACAGCUUGACGGUACCUAAUCAGAAAGCCACGACUAACUACGUG